UUCAGGUCAAAUGCGCUGCGUAGGAUUCAGCUUUGCAGUGCUUGCAGCAUUACAAUGGGCUGUCUUAAGUACUGCCGAAGAGUUGUCAAAUAAAUCAGAGUGUGUGAGUUCAGGAUUUUUGCCGGAAUCGCUUCAAUGUGGUUCUUGUGGCGACUUGGGUAAAUUUGGAUUGUCAUCAUUGAAAGAAAGUUGUCUAGAUUGCUGCCACGGAGACUCCCUUGCCAAUACGUAUCACAGUGCAGUCAUCGAAGUAUGCAACUGAAAGUUGCCAAAAUUCCCCCAGCUGGACGCCUUUAUAAAGACAAAGCUGGACAGUAAAGCAUUUCCCCAGGUCAAAGUAAAGUACCUCCGAGGGAAGAUGCCUUUGCUGAAACUUCUUGAUGAGAGUGGAGGAGUUAUGGAUGAA